UUGGAACAUCAGUUCCCAUAUGAUCACCAAAGUUAAGCAAAGUUGAACCUGAUCAGUACCUUGAUGGCUAACCACUUGGGAAUACCAAGUGCUGUAAG